rnacentral:rRNA from 1 species
UACGAAGGGGGCUAGCGUUGCUCGGAAUUACUGGGCGUAAAGGGCGCGUAGGCGGAUAGUUUAGUCAGAGGUGAAAGCCCAGGGCUCAACCUUGGAAUUGCCUUUGAUACUGGCUAUCUUGAGUUCGGGAGAGGUGAGUGGAAUGCCGAGUGUAGAGGUGAAAUUCGUAGAUAUUCGGCGGAACACCAGUGGCGAAGGCGACUCACUGGCCCGAUACUGACGCUCAUGCACGACAGCGUGGGGAUCAAACAGG